UACGUAGGGUGCGAGCGUUAAUCGGAAUUACUGGGCGUAAAGCGUGCGCAGGCGGUUUUGUAAGCCAGAUGUGAAAUCCCCGGGCUUAACCUGGGAAUGGCAUUUGGGACUGCAAGGCUUGAGUGCGGCAGAGGAGACUGGAAUUCCUGGUGUAGCAGUGAAAUGCGUAGAUAUCUGGAGGAAUACCGAUGGCGAAGGCAGGUCUCUGGGCUGACACUGACGCUCAUGCACGAAAGCGUGGGGAGCAAACAGG
rnacentral:rRNA from 1 species